CAGCUGUAGGUAUCUCCUCACCACUAUAGUAGACAGCUGUAGGUAUCUCCUCACCACUAUAGUAGACAGCUGUAGGUAUCUCCUCACCACUACAGUAGACAGCUGUAGGUAUCUCCUCACCACUACAGUAGACAGCUGUAGGUAUCUCCUCACCACUACAGUAGACAGCUGUAGGUAUCUCCU